rnacentral:rRNA from 1 species
UACGUAGGGUGCAAGCGUUACUCGGAAUUACUGGGCGUAAAGCGUGCGCAGGCGGUUGGGCAAGACAGAUGUGAAAUCCCCGGGCUUAACCUGGGAAUUGCAUUUGUGACUGCACGGCUAGAGUGUGUCAGAGGGGGGUAGAAUUCCACGUGUAGCAGUGAAAUGCGUAGAUAUGUGGAGGAAUACCGAUGGCGAAGGCAGCCCCCUGGGAUAACACUGACGCUCAUGCACGAAAGCGUGGGGAGCAAACAGG